ACGAGAAAAAGGCGUUCGCGCCGCUCUCUCAAACCUUUGCGUACCCAAUUCUUGUCUCUUGCGGGGGGUCCGCCCCCCGCGAGGAACCAAAACAGUCGUCUGAUGUUGUCAGAAAUUCAAAAACAAAAAAA
rnacentral:misc_RNA from 1 species